CCAUUUCCUCUUUUCCCUCUGUCAAAUCAGCGAUAGAGCCCCCACUCGAAGAAAAAAAGUUCCACCCAUUUUCAAACCCCAAGUGAGGGCUAGGUCUUUUCUCGCUCACAUGCCACCGUCGUCCCCAUCCUUCUCGCACGCCGCCGCCGCCCUCCCCAUCUAUCCUUCUCGCAUGUCGUCGUCAUCCUUCGGCUCGAAAGCUUUAGUAUCCUCGUUGUUCCUUGGUGCCUUCUGACGGAACCUCACCAUGUCGUCUCACCUUGCCGCGGACCUGUAGCCGGCGACGUCCAGAUUCCAUGGAUGGAGGUUUCGAAGUCCGGAUUCACAUCGGCGGCCGUCGGUGACUCGUAGAUCUUCCUCUCUCUCCCACAAGGUAUAAUUAGUGCUUUCAGAACACUCAGUGGCAGUUAAAGUUGUAGUUUUUCAUGUACGACAUAAUUGCCUUGAAGAGAAAAUUGUUGCUUGUGUUAGCAUCAUGCAUGACUGGAGGUGGGUUGAUGCAACAAAUAAACACCAAGGAGAAUGCACAGAAGUAUCUCCUAUAUCGAUCAAGUACAUUACGGGUUGAAAAACUUGAGCAGGUUAACAAUCUUAAUUACCAUAUUUUCGAGUAGAAUGCCCUACUUCUUGAAAUCACCGAGUCGGGGCUCAAGUAGUGCAAACAAAUGCUAUAGAUAUCGUUGCAUCAUGUAAUUCCUACUUUUCUUUUCUGCAGAGAAUAGUCACUCUAUUUUUUUCAGGAACACAUAUAGAUUUACUUAACAUUCUUGAAGUUUUUUUAAAAGCAUACAUAGUCUGGAUGAACUUGGGGUCACUUCAUCCAUUUUUAAACCAUAACAAUUAAUUGUUUCAGGAUAAGAAGUAUGAUCUUUCUAUCUCCUUCCAUCAAAAUUGAAAAGAUUGCAUUCCUUCUAUAAAUUAUUCUACAUAGGAUGUUGUGGGUAUGUGUUGAGAGCUGAUGGCAUCAUUAGUUAUGCAUUACAAUUUUGGAUCUCGCGACAGUCAGACCCUUCCCACCAAAAUGAUCUAGCGUGGUAGAGAAUUUUGAAAUAUUAACCUCGUGGUUUUGUUACACAAGCAAUGGAGAUCCCACUCAAAAAAAUGAACUUCCAUGCAAAUUAUUAAUGAGAGGUUGCUUGGUAUGUGACAGUCUGCUUAACCUUCUGCUAUGCAUUUUCAGAAACUCUAUAGGAAGCUACUGCACAUAGGUGUUGUGCUGGUAUAUUUCCUUGUGUAACCUUUGUUCAGGUAAUUCAGACCAAGGCAAGGAGACUAUAGGUAGCCUCUCUUUUUUACCCAUCUUCAUAUUUUCACCUUUGUUUCUUUCGAGCUUCUUAAAGGUACACAAUAGUAUGCCAGUGCUUUAGCUCUCAUUACUAUAAUAUUUUGGAUGACAUUCCCCAUUACGAUCGCCGGGGUUUUCAAUUUAUGACUGAGGAACGCGAAGCUCCUUUACAAUCCCGACAAAUCCUACUACGGAACCAUCACGAUGUUCUUCACUGGCUUUGUCACAUCGAACAUACAUGUAGCCGACGAUGCCUGGAUUCCAUGGAUGGAGGUUUCGAAGUCCAAAUUCACAUAGGCGCGCACCAGUGACUCGUCGAUCUGCCUCUCUCCCCCACAAGGUACUUCUUGAAUGUACUUCUCGAGCUACUACUGCCUUAUACCAAGUAAAUCAUCUUUGUCAGCACUAGAUUCCUUGAACUUUAUUAGGAAUAUUUAUCGUUCUUCAUACAUUCCGUGGAUGCCUCGUCAUAUAAAGGAGAUGAGAGAAAGGAACUGGUGAGGGUGAAAGUCGGUUUUGUGCUUCAAGGAUUGGAGGUUGUGAGAUUUACAAGAGGUGAUGGAGGACAGUUAGUUAUUGCGGCUUAACAUAUAGUAGUAGAAGAUGAGUACAAGGAUAAGCUCAUAGACAAACUAUAGAGCAUGAGGCACAUAUACUUUUGCAAUCUUAUUCAUUAUCUAAUGUAAGAGGAUCAAAUAUGUAUUUUGUUCUUGUGAAUGUUGAGAAGGAUGAUUUUGUCAAUGUUGUAUACAUACA